AUUGAACGCUGGCGGCAGGCCUAACACAUGCAAGUCGAGCGAGCGGCGGACGGGUGAGUAAUGUAUGGGGACUGCCCGAUAGAGGGGGAUAACUACUGGAAACGGUGGCUAAUACCGCAUACUAUCGGAUAACCCAUAUGGGAUUAGCUAGUAGGGGGGGUAAAGGCUCACCUAGGCGACGAUCUCUAGCUGGUCUGAGGGGAUGAUCAGCCAAAAUGGGAAUGCGACACGGCCCAGACCCCAAGGGAGGGAGCAGUGGGGAAUAAUGCACAAUGGGGUGAAGCCUGAUGCAGCCAUGCCGCGUGUAUGAAGAAGGCCUUAGGGUUGUAAAGUACUUUCAGCGGGGAAGCGUUAACCGCAGGAGGAGCAACGGCUAACACCGUGCCAGCAACCGCGGGAAUAA
rnacentral:rRNA from 1 species